rnacentral:lncRNA from 1 species
GGGGGGGGGGGGGGGGGGGGGGGGGGGGGGGGGGGGGGGGGGGGGGGGGGGGGGGGGGGGGGGGGGGGGGGGGGGGGGGGGGGGGGGGGGGGGGGGGGGGCCCGGUCCCCCCCAGGCCCCCCCACAGGAUCCCCACGGAAUCCCCCGGCCGGACCCGCCGCCGCCGCCGCUCACCUGACCACGCCCCUCUAUUAUUAUGCAAACGAGGCUCCCGCCGCACCGUCCCCGAUUGGCCGCUCGGCGCCGACUCGUUGAGCGCAGCCGCAUGCUGAUUGGCUGAAUGUGAUGACGUCAGAAGGAAGCGGCGGAAGGGGGGGAGGAGCUGGCGGGCGCGGCGCGCGCGCGCGGCUGGCAGCCCGACCAAUCAGCAGCCAGUGUGGGGACGAGGAAGUGUGGAGAGGGCAGCGCCUUAAAGGGGCAACGUCAUGGUGGUGUGCCCACCGCCCCGCCCCAUUCCAGUGACCCCAGUGUCUUCCCAUCGCUCCCAGUAACCUCAGUGCCCACCUCAGAGCUGAUCCACUGAUUCAGCUGCCCUCCCCCACCGCUCCCAGCAGCCCCAAUACCCACCCGGCAGGGGGGACAUGUAGGACAGUACAGGGGGACACGUGGGACAGGGCACCAGGCAUCGGGGCCUGGGGGUCUGUGGAGCUGCUUGGCAGAUAGACUGCAACUUUGGGAAAGGGGAGGGAGAGGCCAGGCAGGCCGGACUGCCCCACGUAGGGUCCCUACACCAGGCUGUGUCCCUGUGCUGUCCCGUCACAGCCGAGGGAAGAGCCUGGCUCUGGUGUCCCUGACUCAGCAGGGCCUUCCCAGAGCCCCCCAUGGCUGUGUGUCACCCUGUCAUGCUGUGGCUGAUGUCUAUGAACGUGGCAGAAGCACAGCUCUCGGCCAGCCCCACGGGAGAGGGGACAUGGAGACAGAGGGGGUGCCAGUGCCCGUGGGACAGCCAGAGCCCUCCCAGCCUAGGGGUGCCAUAUCACCUCGGGCAUGCAGCAGGGAGGGGUUAUCUGAUUGGUUAUCUGCACCUGGGGACAGUGAGAACCUCUUGGUGUCUGUGGGUGUGACACUGAGGGUCUGUCAUGAUGUCUUGAGGGGACAGAGCAGUGCCAGCGCUGCGCUGGGGAAGGACCUUGACUGGGGGGUGUCUGUGCUGGGUGCCAGAGGGAA